AGAGUUUGAUCCUGGCUCAGAUUGAACGCUGGCGGCAUGCCUUACACAUGCAAGUCGAACGGCAGCACGGGAGCAAUCCUGGUGGCGAGUGGCGAACGGGUGAGUAAUAUAUCGGAACGUGCCCAGUCGUGGGGGAUAACGCAGCGAAAGCUGUGCUAAUACCGCAUACGAUCUCUGGAUGAAAGCGGGGGACUCGCAAGGGCCUCGCGCGAUUGGAGCGGCCGAUAUCAGAUUAGCUAGUUGGUGGGGUAAAAGCCCACCAAGGCGACGAUCUGUAGCUGGUCUGAGAGGACGACCAGCCACACUGGAACUGAGACACGGUCCAGACUCCUACGGGAGGCAGCAGUGGGGAAUUUUGGACAAUGGGCGCAAGCCUGAUCCAGCAAUGCCGCGUGCAGGAUGAAGGCCUUCGGGUUGUAAACUGCUUUUGUACGGAACGAAAACGGCGAGCUUCUUAAUAAAAGCUUGCGAAAUGACGGAACCGU
rnacentral:rRNA from 1 species